AACGAACGCUGGCGGCAUGCCUAACACAUGCAAGUCGAACGAGACCUUCGGGUCUAGUGGCGCACGGGUGCGUAACGCGUGGGAACCUGCCCUUAGGUUCGGAAUAACUCCCCGAAAGGGGUGCUAAUACCGGAUAAUGUCUUCGGACCAAAGAUUUAUCGCCUUUGGAUGGGCCCGCGUUGGAUUAGCUAGUUGGUAGGGUAAAAGCCUACCAAGGCGACGAUCCAUAGCUGGUCUGAGAGGAUGAUCAGCCACACUGGGACUGAGACACGGCCCAGACUCCUACGGGAGGCAGCAGUGGGGAAUAUUGGCCAAUGGGCGAAAGCCUGAUCCAGCAAUGCCGCGUGAGUGAUGAAGGCCUUAGGGUUGUAAAGCUCUUUUACCCGGGAUGAUAAUGACAGUACCGGGAGAAUAAGCUCCGGCUAACUCCGUG
rnacentral:rRNA from 1 species